rnacentral:lncRNA from 1 species
UGGAUGACAGGAAAGAAAUGCUGCAUACAGAAGAGCUCUAUCAGAAGGAGAGGUGGUGAAUGUUGCUUAUUCACGUGUUCUUUUUCUGGGUACAGCAGGUGUUGGGAAGAGUAGUUUCAAGAAUUCUCUUAUGAAGUUACCAUGGGAUCCUAAGGCUAACAGUACCAUCAUAUCUGAUGUCAGCUGUGUUCGUCCCUUUGCUAAGGGAUUGCUUAGUGAGCAGUGGGAAGCACUUACUCAUGAAGCUGAAAUUGAAGCUAUGGCACACUUGUUCUUUGCUGUCAGGA